AUUGAACGCUGGCGGCAUGCCUUACACAUGCAAGUCGAACGGCAGCGGGGGAGAAGCUUGCUUUUCCUGCCGGCGAGUGGCGAACGGGUGAGUAAUACAUCGGAACGUGCCCUGUAAUGGGGGAUAACUAGUCGAAAGAUUAGCUAAUACCGCAUACGACCUGAGGGUGAAAGUAGGGGACCGCAAGGCCUCAUGCUAUAGUAGCGGCCGAUGUCUGAUUAGCUAGUUGGUGGGGUAAAGGCCUACCAAGGCGACGAUCAGUAGCUGGUCUGAGAGGACGAUCAGCCCCACUGGGACUGAGACACGGCCCAGACUCCUACGGGAGGCAGCAGUGGGGAAUUUUGGACAAUGGGCGAAAGCCUGAUCCAGCAAUGCCGCGUGUGUGAAGAAGGCCUUCGGGUUGUAAAGCACUUUUGUCCGGAAAGAAAUGGCUCUGGUUAAUACCUGGGGUCGAUGACGGUACCGGAAGAAUAAGGACCGGCUAACUACGUGCCAGCCGCCGCGGUAA
rnacentral:rRNA from 1 species